ACUGCUCAGUAACACGUGGACAACCUACCCUCAGCACGGGGAUAAACCCGGGAAACUGGGUAUAAUACCCGAUAGUUCUGGUUAGCUGGAAUGCUAUCAGGACGAAAGCUCCGGCGACUGAGGAUGGGUCUGCGGCCUAUCAGGUAGUAGUGGGUGUAAUGUACCUACUAGCCUACGACGGGUACGGGUCGUGAGAGCGAGAGCCCGGAGAUGGAUUCUGAGACACGAAUCCAGGCCCUACGGGGUGCAGCAGGCGCGAAAACUUUACAAUGCUGGCAACAGCGAUAAGGGGACCUCGAGUGCCAGGAUACAAUCUUGGCUGUCGUGAUGCCUAAAAAGCAUUACAUAGCAAGGGCCGGGCAAGACCGGUGCCAGCCGCCGCGGUAACACCGGCGGCUCGAGUGGUAACCGCUAUUAUUGGGUCUAAAGGGUCUGUAGCCGGCCGGAUAAGUCUCUUGAGAAAUCCAGCAGCUCAACUGUUGGGCUUUCAGGGGAUACUGUUCGGCUCGAGGCCGGGAGAGGUGAGAGGUACUUCAGGGGUAGGGGUGAAAUCUUGUAAUCCUUGAAGGACCACCAGUGGCGAAGGCGUCUCACCAGAACGGUCCUGACGGCAAGGGACGAAAGCUAGGGGCACGAACCGGAUUAGAUACCCGGGUAGUCCUAGCCGUAAACGAUACUCGCUAGGUGUCGGCCACGGUGCGACCGUGGUCGGUGCCGUAGGGAAGCCGUGAAGCGAGCCACCUGGGAAGUACGGCCGCAAGGCUGAAACUUAAAGGAAUUGGCGGGGGAGCA
rnacentral:rRNA from 1 species